AUUUUAAGUUAUAUUUGUUUUGUUAAUAUUGAAUAUUUUUUUUUGUGUUUAAGGUUGUAUAAUUGUAUUUUGAUUGUUAAUUUUAAGAUUUCAUCCGUGAUAAACUUUUCUUUAUCAAUAUGUAUCAAAACCCGUCAUCCCAUAUAAAUCCGUAUAUAUUAUCUCGUUAGCUAAAUUAUUAGUGUUAUAAAAUUCAAAAAA
rnacentral:sRNA from 1 species